rnacentral:tRNA from 1 species
GGGGGCGUAGCUCAGUUGGGAGAGCGCUUGAAUGGCAUUCAAGAGGUCAGGGGUUCGAUUCCCCUCGUCUCCAC